UGUAAUCUUUGGUGGCGGUGCAGGGUUCUCAUGUCAAAUGUCAAAACGAAGUUACUAUAAAUAAAACCUUGAUGCAAUAAUGAAAGGUGUUAUAGGUUGGUUUUGCAUUUAUUAGGUCAUUUCCUUACUGUUUCCUGGCCGACCUGUGCUGGUAUUGUGAUUAAGAGCUAAUACACCAUCCUCUGGGGAACUGCAGCUGCAGCCGAAUUUGAUUGUGUGCACCAUCGUGCAGAUGAAUUUUUCCUGUUGCGCCUUUGUGCGCGUUGGAGUAAGUUGCAAACCAUUGGAGACGGUUAAGGUGUGUCGGACAGGGGCCAAAGUUAAGAUUCCUCUAUGGAGACUCAAAAAAUUAAUAUUAUUGUUUUCAUCUAGUACCUAAAAUCGCUACUACUAUAGCGACUCCAAUCGGGACCAAAAUUUAUAUGUGCUACCAAA